GUCUACGUACACCCGGAUGUGUUGCACAACCAAGUCUUGCAUUCAUAUCGCGGGAUAAUCCUGCAGGAGGGAGUUCCAUUUUCUCUCGUUCUACAAUACCCAUUCAUGAUAUAACCAUACCACUCCACUGUCCAUUCAUCUGUGCUACAGUGAAAUCCGUCAUGUCUAAACCAGACGAGGCCAGAGAACUAAGUCUUAUAUCAAAACUCGAGCUUAGAAUUGCCCUCGCAGACAGCGAUUCCAAGUUACAGUCUCUUCUCCAGACAUAUCUUGGUCCCCUCCUCCUAAAACUAGCUUCAGAAAGUCUUGCAGUGCGCAACAAAGUCAUUUCUAUCUGCCAACAUAUCAACACACGAAUCCGGCCAGCAUCUAUCACUCUGCCUAUCGCAGCUCUUCUGAAACAGUUUAAAGAUGUUAAUGCACCGCUGGUGAGACAUUUCGAUCUUAUUUAUAUCAAGCAGGGUCUUGAUCGGAUUCCCGCCAAUGAGCGCAUCGAUCUCAUACCAGAUCUGAUCCAGGGCAUUGCCGGGGUAGGAGGUUCCAUUUCAGCUUCAUCACAAGGCUCCAUCGUGUUCAAUCUCCUACUGAGAUUGCUACCUUUAUUGAAGCUGCCACGAAGAGGUAGCGAAGAAGAUCUAGCACUGAGAACAAAACUAGGUAUCUCGAAUGAAGACGCUGCAUUCCUGGCAAAAUGGUUUUCUAAAAUCCUUCUUUUCUUCCCCGGUAGAAAGGAUGCGACGAAAUGUCCCGGCCUUACUCCUUCGGAGUACAGAUUUGUGAACAGAGAUUCACCGCCUGACGAGACUUGGAAUCCGUCGGCAGCUGGCGGUCUUAACUUGAUCGAAACUAAGGUUUCUCUCGCAAAGUUUUUGGCCAGCGGGGCUUUUACCGAUUCUGAGCGCUUUAUCGGUGCUGUCAUUGCCUCUGCUGACCCAAAUAGUCGUCUUUCAGAUGUUGGGGAAGAUAUACUCAAACGUUUCCGUCCAGAUUUGGAAAACGCGGAAGUUGUGGAUGAACUAUUUACACUUUACUUUGGA
rnacentral:sRNA from 2 species